CCUACGGGCGGCAGCAGUGGGGAAUAUUGGACAAUGGGGGGAACCCUGAUCCAGCCAUGCCGCGUGUGUGAAGAAGGCCCUCGGGUUGUAAAGCACUUUCAGUGAGGAAGAACGCCUGGUGGUUAAUACCCAUCAGGAAAGACAUCACUCACAGAAGAAGCACCGGCUAACUCCGUGCCAGCAGCCGCGGUAAUACGGAGGGUGCGAGCGUUAAUCGGAAUUACUGGGCGUAAAGCGCGCGUAGGUGGCUUGAUAAGCCGGUUGUGAAAGCCCCGGGCUCAACCUGGGAACGGCAUCCGGAACUGUCAAGCUAGAGUGCUGGAGAGGAAGGUAGAAUUCCCGGUGUAGCGGUGAAAUGCGUAGAGAUCGGGAGGAAUACCAGUGGCGAAGGCGGCCUUCUGGACUGACACUGACACUGAGGUGCGAAAGCGUGGGUAGCAAACAGGAUUAGAUACCCCUGUAGUC
rnacentral:rRNA from 1 species